GUGGGGAAUCUUAGACAAUGGGGGAAACCCUGAUCUAGCCAUGCCGCGUGAGCGAUGAAGGCCUUAGGGUUGUAAAGCUCUUUCAGCUGGGAAGAUAAUGACUGUACCAGCAGAAGAAGCCCCGGCUAACUCCGUGCCAGCAGCCGCGGUAAUACGGAGGGGGCUAGCGUUGUUCGGAAUUACUGGGCGUAAAGCGCACGUAGGCGGACCGGAAAGUCAGCGGUGAAAUCCCAGUGCUCAACCUUGGAACUGCCUUUGAAACUCCUGGUCUUGAGGUCGAGAGAGGUGAGUUGAAUUCCGAGUGUAGAGGUGAAAUUCGUAGAUAUUCGGAGGAACACCAGUGGCGAAGGCGGCUCACUGGCUCGAUACUGACGCUGAGGUGCGAAAGCGUGGGGAGCAAACAGGAUUAGAUACCCGGGUAGUCC
rnacentral:rRNA from 1 species